UGUGACAUUCUCCUGUACUGUGUACUAUGAAUGUCAGCUGCAUGUAGUUAUCUUUCCAAUUACAUUAUAUUGAGAAAUCAUUAUAUUGAAUGUAAAAAGCGAGGUCCCCUCUGGCUUCACACUUUAAAGUUUAAUGGAAGAUUGGAAGUCCCCUUUAAAAUGCAUCUGCUAAAUGGGAGCUGCUCACCAAGGACGCGACAUAAGGCUGAUCAGAGGAUAGGUUGCCCGGGUCACAGAGAUCUUUUCUAUGAUGAGAAGAACUGAGCUCGGAGGUACAGCCAUGAGAAAGUCUCGAGUCUGAUCUUGAAGGAAACGCCGACCGUCUGAGGAUUUUGUCAUUUGUGGAUUUAAUUAAGUGGAUUAAUGUUUCCUUUCAUCUCAGAUCAUGUCAAAUAAAUGUCUGUGUGAC